GACUUUCACGGCCUGCCUGCCCCCCAGCGACAGGAGGAGCCCCCAGAGAUGACCAGCCCUCCUGAACACAGAGAACCCAACAUCUCAUGGGAAACCCCAAUGCAGACUCUGGAACCAUGGAGGAGCCAUGCUUUCAGGUGGAAUAGUUGUGGAUUGGGAUGGAGGAUGUGACCUGUGUCCUGUGAAAGGAGUCGUAGAGUCAGACGGAGAGGGAUCGGAGAGCUUACUGUAUGAGGGAGAGGACGAAAAUAACAAAGUAACUAUGAACUACACUAAAAACUAACAGACAAGGACUGAAACCCCAAAACCUACGAGAACAUUAAACUAAAAUUGCAAGACAAUGGAAAAAAUGAUAAGUAUCUGAACGACGAUGCAAGAAAAGAAGGUUGGAGGAAGCUGGGUCAAAAUGGGAUGACCUGGCUAUUUAUAAUCAGACACUGAUCCCAGGAAAGAUAAUGGAGGGGCUGAUAUGGGACUCAAUUAAUAAACAAUUUAAGGAGGGUAAGAUAAUGAAUGCCAAUUAACACAGGUUUCCAGAAAACAGGUCCUGUCAAAUUUAAUCUUUUUUUAUUAAAUUAUAAGUUUGAUUGAUAAA